GGCCUAUUAACUUAAUUUGAUAAAGCGUCGUGUUAAUAACGCGAAGGACCCAGGUUCAAGACUUGCAUAGGCCA